rnacentral:lncRNA from 1 species
ACCGCUUCUUACAGAACAGAGCAGAGGCGUGAUCGACAGCCCGGGGCUGCAACCGCAAAGCGAAGCCAGGCCCGAGAGAGCGGGGAAGGGGCGCGAAGAGAGGGGCAGAGAGGAGCGAAGAGGCGCGAGAAGAGAGGGGAGAACAGGGGCGCGAGGAGAGGGGAGAAGGGAGGGGAGUACCGACAGGCACCGCUAGGAAGGAAGCCGAGGCGGCCACGCCGGGCCGGCCCUUGCGCGCUCCGGCCUCCCGCCUCCUCGGGGCCGCAGGGGCCCCGCAGCCGGGCGAGCCCUACCCAAGUCGGACACCGCAGCCCCACCGGUCGGCCCCGAGCUCCGCUUCACAAACAGCCCCCGAGUGCGUCGCUGCUGUCAUUCGGCCCCACCCUCCCGGCUUCCCACAGCACCCCACCCGGCGCCUCCUCCCCGAGCCGGGCCCCACACCCAGGCUCCCUCCCGGGGUCCCCUCCCCGGGCCGGGCCCCACACCCAGGCUCCCUUCCGGGGUCCCCUCCCCGGGCCGGGGCCCCACACCCCGGUUCCCUCCCGGGGUGCCCUCCCCGGGCCGGGACCCCACACCCAGGCUCCCUCCCGGGGUCCCCUGCCCGGGCCGGGGCCCCACACCCCGGCUCCCUCCCGGGGUCCCCUCCCUGGGCCAGGACCCCACACACAGGCUCCCUCCCAGGGUCCCUUUUCCCGGCCCCACAACCAGGCUCCCUCCCUCGAUAUCUCUCCAGGCCCAAGUGCCGUACCCAGAACCGGGCACCUCGUUCCCAGGCCGGGGCCCCACACCGCGGCUCCCUCCCAGGGUUCCCACCCCAGGCCGGGCCCUCACACCCAGGGUCCCCACACCCAGGCCGGGCCCCACACCCACGCUGUCUCCCGGGGUCCCCUCCCGAGGCCCGGGCCCCUUCCCCGCUGCCAGCCGGCCUCUCACCUCCCGGGCGGCCCCCGCGGGGUCGUGGGCGCAGCGAAGCCCGGGUGCGCCGCAGCGAGCAGGUGCGAGGUCGCGGCCGCGGCGCUCGGGUCCGAAGCGGCGGCGGGUGGCCCGCCUGGUGGCUUCCGGUGCGCCGAGAUUCUCCGAGGACUCGGCGGUCAGCAGGCCCAGAGUCUCCAACAGCAUGUCCCCCGGGCGCCUCGGCUCUCUGUGCUCGGCAGCGAGGGACGGAGCCGUCCGCUCAGCCAGAGACCGCCGGGGGAACAGCGCCCAAAGCGCUCCAGGCCGCCAUUUUGUAACUCGAUUCUACCCCUCAAAACCGAUUCGAAAAAAAAAGGAGGAAAGAAACGCCCGCGACCAACUACUGCGCAAGCGCGCCCAGGCCUCGGGCCGCAGCACCUCCUUCUGCGGGCUGUGGGGCUUCACGUGGCGCAUGCGCCCAGCUACUUGGCAACUGUCGCCGGGAGGAGCGCGCCUGGGCUACGCCUGCGCGAGCGCAUGCGCGCACUCACGCACGCGCCGGCUUCAGCCAGAGAGCCCGCGCCUGCGGCUCGAGUUUACGCGCGUCGGUCACGUGUCGGUCGCCGUCCGCGUUUGAGGCGUUUGCGCCCAGGUCGGCGCGACUACAGUUUGAGAGGCGCUGGCAGGAGGCGCGUUGUUUGUGAGCGCUGCCCAGGCUCGGGGUGUCCGUGUGGGUGCUGGAGGGCUGCGAGGAGACGGUCGUGA